UACGUAGGGGGCAAGCGUUGUCCGGAAUUAUUGGGCGUAAAGAGCUCGUAGGCGGUCUGUUGCGUCCGCUGUGAAAACCCGGGGCUUAACCCCUGGCUUGCAGUGGAUACGGACAGACUAGAGGUAGGUAGGGGAGAAUGGAAUUCCCGGUGUAGCGGUGAAAUGCGCAGAUAUCGGGAGGAACACCGGUGGCGAAGGCGGUUCUCUGGGCCUUACCUGACGCUGAGGAGCGAAAGCGUGGGGAGCGAACAGG
rnacentral:rRNA from 1 species